UACAGAGGUCUCAAGCGUUGUUCGGAUUCAUUGGGCGUAAAGGGUGUGUAGGUGGCGCGCUAAGUCGGGUGUGAAAUUUCGGAGCUUAACUCCGAAACUGCAUUCGAUACUGGCGUGCUUGAGGACUGGAGAGGAGACUGGAAUUCAUGGUGUAGCAGUGAAAUGCGUAGAGAUCAUGAGGAAGACCAGUGGCGAAGGCGGGUCUCUGGACAGUUCCUGACACUGAGACACGAAGGCCAGGGGAGCAAACGUG
rnacentral:rRNA from 1 species